rnacentral:rRNA from 1 species
CCUACGGGAGGCAGCAGUGGGGAAUAUUGGGCAAUGGGCGCAAGCCUGACCCAGCAACGCCGCGUGAAGGAAGAAGGCUUUCGGGAUGUACACUUCUUUUAUCAGGGACGAAGCAAGUGACGGUACCGGAUGAAUAAGCCACGGCUAACUACGUGCCAGCAGCCGCGGUGAUACGGAGGUGGCCAGCGUUAUCCGGAUUUACUGGGUGUACAGGGCGUGUAGGCGGGGGUGCAAGUCAGAUGUGAAAACUAUGGGCUCAACCCAUAGCCUGCAGUUGAAACUGUACUUCGUGAGUGCUGGAGAGGCAAUCGGGAGUCCGUGUGUAGCGGUGAAAUGCGUAGAUAUACGGAGGAACACCAGUGGCGAAGGCGGAUUGCUGGACAGUAACUGACGCUGAGGCGCGAAAGCGUGGGGAGCAAACAGGAUUAGAUACCCCUGUAGUC